AGAAGAGAAAGUGAAAGAGCAAUGGGAGAGAGAGAACGGGAAAGAGAGAGAGAGACAACGGAGAAGGGGAUAUCGGAACCUUACAUGAUCGCCGCCUUCAUUAGUUGGACUUGUAGGCAGAACCCUAACCUUCAGGGCCAUCCUCUCUCUUAAGCUCAACCUUCAGGCAGAACCCAAACCUUAUUGUCAAUUUUUCUCUACUCACAAAAUUAGGUCUGAUUCAAAUGGCUUGAUUCUCCGGCUUGAGCAGGUUCUGCAUUUGCAAGGAUGACACGUGAAGAUUCUACAAAGUUACUUGCCCCUGACCCUGAGUAAUUUCCUUCUUGGGUUGUUUUCUCACAACGACAGAAGUCGAGGUUUACUUGCUGAGCUUUCACUUUCUUCCUUUUUUUAUGUCUGUUAUUAUAAAUGGGAAUUGAUUUUCUCUCUUUUUUUUGGUGUUACUGCUGUUACGGUUAAUUUUCAUCUUACAAAAGUCUAGCCCCCAAGUGGACAAGUUGCGCAAACGUGCGCUUACAAAUCCUGCAAUAACAGUAGUUUUUUGCAUGGGUGUUGUUGGACAUGGUGUUCCUCCUUUCGGAAGCCCUAAAGGAACCCAUCUCCUUCAGUAUUCAUUCCUGCACUUCGAACUGUUGGCAACAUUGUGAUCGGUGAUGAUCUCUAGACUCAUUGUAUUAUUGAGCAUGGUGCACUCCCGUGCCUGCUGAGUUUGUUGGCCAAUAACCACAAAAAAAAGCAUCAAAUAAGAAGCCUGCUGGACAAUCUCAAACAUCACGGCUGGAAACAAAUAACAAAUCUAGUCUGUAAUCGAAGCUGGGUUAAUCACUCCCCUGGUCCAUCUCCUUGAGACUGCUGAAUUUGAUAUAAAGAAAGAAGCUGCACGGGCGAUUGCAAAUGCCACUUCUGGCGGCACUAAUGAACAGAUCAAGUAAGUUACUUUUUACAUUCUUCAUAAACUCAAGAUCCUAAAUCUGAGUAACAGGUCAAAAUGUGUUCAUGUCGAUGUUGGCUUGAUCCUCUUUAACGAUUUUUAUCUAUUGUUUAAAACUUUUUGUAAUGAUUUAUGGUUUGUAUGGAUUGUGAUAGUGAGUUUAGCAAAGAUUGAGAACCUAUAGUCUCAGGACAACAAUGAAAUUUAUGAGAAUGCCAUGAAAAUUCUCGAGACUCACUGGUUGGGGGUUCACAUGUAAACAGUAUUGGAGUUGUUUGGGUUACCCGAAUCAUUAAUAAUUUAAUUGAUUACCGAACCGUUUAAAAAACUUCGUGUACAGGUAGUUUUUAUUCGGUUCGGAUACGGUCAGGUUUGCUCUUAUCGGGUUCGGGUUAGUUCCAUCCUGAAGCAUGUGACAAACUUGGUGGCGUGAUAGUGAUGCACAUUGACCAUCUCAGAAAGUUUGCAACGCAAUCUUAUGGUUGCAUAAAACAGAGGAAGUCAGAGCUGACACUGCUCAUUACGGGAAAAAUAUAACUGGAGAUAUCUAUGAAUCUGGCUGGAUUAGUGAAAUGUAUGGUUAUUCUUUUGGUGCAACAGAGCUGAAGUUGCACCAUGUUAUAUCCCUGAACCCGAUGUUACCUAUCGGGUUUUCCAUUACGGGUUAGAGUUCAGUGUCGGGAACUGGAGCUUUGACAAAGCGAACUGGAGAACCACUGACAUGGUCAACAGAUGAUGGGCCAAGUUUCCCGACCCGCCUGACCCGUCAGAAGCUGACCAAACAAAUGUCGUCACUCUCCAAUGUGAUUAACUAAGCAUAGAAUGCGGAAAAACGUUGAAUGAAGCUCUUCUGUUGCACCAUGAAAGUAGGGGGUGUGGUGACCCGGAAUGGGUUGUCAUUCGUAAUAGACAUCAUAUUUUAAUUUGAUAUAAGUCGGAACACCCGCCGCAAUGCGCGGGCAUUCCC